rnacentral:tRNA from 1 species
AGUGCCGUAGUCGAGUGGCUAAGACGCUCCCCUGUCACGGGAGAGAUCGUGGGUUCAAACCCCAUCGGCACUGCCA